rnacentral:rRNA from 1 species
AACGAACGCUGGCGGCAGGCUUAACACAUGCAAGUCGAACGCCCUCUUCGGAGGGAGUGGCAGACGGGUGAGUAACGCGUGGGAACGUGCCUUUCGGUUCGGAAUAACUCAGGGAAACUUGGGCUAAUACCGGAUACGCCCUUCGGGGGAAAGAUUUAUCGCCGAAAGAUCGGCCCGCGUCGGAUUAGCUUGUUGGUGAGGUAAAAGCUCACCAAGGCGACGAUCCGUAGCUGGUCUGAGAGGAUGAUCAGCCACACUGGGACUGAGACACGGCCCAGACUCCUACGGGAGGCAGCAGUGGGGAAUAUUGGACAAUGGGCGCAAGCCUGAUCCAGCCAUGCCGCGUGGGUGAAGAAGGCCCUAGGGUUGUAAACCCCUUUCAGCGGGGAAGAUAAUGACGGUACCCGCAGAAGAAGCCCCGGCUAACUCCGUG